UUGUUUCUAAAAAUCUCCAAUGAAGCAUCGCGUCUUCGUAGAUAAUACUGUGACUUGGAAGGUUCCGAUAGAAGCUAACUGUACGACUGUUGGUCUUCGACUUAGAAUAUUGUUUGCGAUCAAGGAGCGAGGCGGAUAUUGUUAUUUUACCAAGAAUAAAAGGAAUAUGAUAACCAGAAGAAACAACCGACAGCGAAGUCUCAGUCACGUACGCGCAACAAUACAGUAUCGGUCGUUGUAAAUGCGCACGAUGCGAUGAAGACAGAACUAUAAUUCACGUGAUUAAAGCUGCACUUUGAUCAUCUGUUUAGACUGCGUUGCCAUUAUCGCGAACGAUGUAUGUACUUCAUCGAACGUAUCGUUACAGACGCGAGCGCGACAGAUUCGCGGGAAGUGCGUAGUUGUAGAGCUUCUUAAUAAUUAAUAAAUUAAUGACUGGCAGGAUAAUAUUACGCAACAAAGAAAAAAAGUCAUUCACUGUUGAGAAUUUCUCGUAAAAAGGACACCAUCUUUCUUAGACUCUUUGAUUGUUGUCCUUGAUACGAUUAACGAGUCGAUCAACGAAACAACCAUACGACAUUAUCUUUGGCGUGGUGAGGCACAGAAUCUGGAUAAUGCACCGGAAAAAUCGGUGAAGGUCCUGAAACGAAUUCGUCAUUCGCGAAUGGAAACGAGCGUCAGCUCCCAAAAAAGAAUGGGAGAACAGGUUGUACGUUGAAAAGACUAAAACAGUAUAGUUAUUGAGAAAAGGAAAUAUUGAACGAACCUGGUAUCGGAACGAAACAUCUUUUGUUGAGAAGACGCAGACUGCUUAACUUUGCCUAAACGUGAUUAUGUGAUAUUUAGACAAUGUAAAUAAAUAAGAAUGUCUUCUAGAGACUUAGAAUAAUUUUAUAAGUAUUUAACAUUUCACUAGUUGACGUAUUAAUUAUUUUGGAAACUUUCGCUCAACGUUAUUAAGUACAUAGAUAUAUAUUUAUUAUUUCUAACUACAUCUAGUUAAAUAACAUAACUUUGUCAUUUCAAUACUUAAACUACCAACUUUUAAUAUAAAUGACCAAUUUGUAAGUAUUUAUUUUGAUGAUUAUAACGAAAAUACGAGUACUAAUAUACGUAUAAAAUUAGCCAAUUUG